rnacentral:rRNA from 1 species
GUGUCAGCAGCCGCGGUAAUACAGAGGCCUCAAGCGUUAGGCGGAAUCACUGGGCUUAAAGCGUGUGUAGGCGGAUGCCUAAGUGCCUUGUGAAAUCCCACGGCUCAACCGUGGAACUGCUGGGCAUACUGGGUGUCUUGAGCCAUCCAGGGGUCGCUGGAACAAACGGUGGAGCGGUGAAAUGCGUAGAUAUCGUUUGGAACGCCAAAGGUGAAGACAGGCGACUGGGGAUGUGCUGACGCUGAGACACGAAAGCCAGGGGAGCAAACGGGAUUAGAUACCCGCGUAGUCC